GUGCAGGUGGCGUAAUGGUUAACGCAACUGCCUGAUAAGCAGGAGAUCACGGGUUCGAGUCCCGGUCCGGCACA